CCUACGGGUGGCAGCAGUGGGGAAUAUUGCACAAUGGCGGAAACUCUGAUGCAGCGACGCCGCGUGAGUGAAGAAGUAUUUCGGUAUGUAAAGCUCUAUCAGUAGGGAAGAAAAUGACGGUACCUGAUUAAGAAGCCCUGGCCAACUACGUGCCAGCAGCCGCGGUAAUACGUAGGGGGCAAGCGUUAUCCGGAUUUACUGGGUGUAAAGGGAGCGUAGACGGCAGCACAAGUCUGGAGUGAAAUGCCGGGGCUUAACCCCGGAACUGCUUUGGAAACUGUGCAGCUAGAGUGCAGGAGAGGUAAGUGGAAUUCGUGGUGUAGCGGUGAAAUGCGUAGAUAUUAGGAGGAACACCAGUGGCGAAGGCGGCUUACUGGACUGUAACUGACGUUGAGGCUCGAAAGCGUGGGUAGCAAACAGGAUUAGAUACCCGAGUAGUC
rnacentral:rRNA from 1 species